rnacentral:lncRNA from 1 species
AUGUUUCUCUUUGAUUGUACCGCCUUUGGCUUUUAUUGGCUUUUAUUGUACAGCCGUUUCAAAACCAAUGCUCCAUCCUCCAAUCCAUCACCAUCUUCAAUUGAAUACUAGCAAUCAAAAUCGAUGAAGGAGGAUUGGUAUCAAGAACCCUAGAUCUAUUAAUAAUUAUGUAUUCCUCUGUUUCUUCAUCGAUUUUUUUCCUUAUUUUGAUAUAUGUAAUGCGUAAUCCUACUCAUUGAUGUCCUGAACGAUUAGGGUUUUACUUUCUCUCUUGAGUCGGUUGCUGCAAGAUGCUGGAGACGCUGCCAAGAAGAAGAACUAAACCUGAGAGAGUUUGCUGUAUUUUUCAAAAUCAUAUGAUAACAUAUUUCACCGGACCCAGUUCAAGCUUUCAUGAUUCACAAAAUAUGACUAGCAUGAUUAGACUAUGAGUUGAAUUCAUGUCGGUGACCGGUGAUUCGAUCAUAUAAAGCCUAAACACGAUCAGGUAUAAAAUUGUUUUUGUUGAGAGUGAGAGAGUCCAUAUCAUUAUAGUGAUAGAAGAUGGCCUCACUUUGUCGUUUGGUUGGAGUAAACAUGGCAGCUUGGUACAGGCUCAAUGAAAAAUGGUGAGUAAAGAUGAACAAAGGAAAAAAAGAUGCCCGAAGAAAUGGGAGAUAAAGUGAAAUCCGUGGUGUGUGGAAUAUAUGUCGUUAAACUUGGAAAGGUUCAUUUUUGGUUAAUUUCGGUUAAUUUGUUUGGUUGUUUUGACAAGCGCCGCAACGUGCACGGGUUUGGAUUUACUUGUGUACUUAAAUCUUUUUUUAGUCAAUAUUUUUGUACUUAAAUCAACAACAUUAUUUUACCCAUUAAUAGAGCUCUAUCUCAAUUAGAUUCUCCUAAUAGAAUCACUCUAAUGAAGCUAUUUGUCGAUUGCAAUUGGCAUC